GUCUAUGUGUCUCUGUAGUGUGUCUGGUCUCUUCUUACCUGUCUAUGUGUCUCUGUAGUGUGUCUGGUCUCUUCUUACCUGUCUAUGUGUCUCUGUAGUGUGUCUGGUCUCUUCUUACCUGUCUAUGUGUCUCUGUAGUGUGUCUGGUCUCUUCUUACCUGUCUAUGUGUCUCUGUAGUGAGUCUGGUCUCUUCUUACCUAUCUAUGUGUCUCUGUAGUGUGUCUGGUCUCUUCUUACCUGUCUAUGUGUCUCUGUAGUGUGUCUGGUCUCUUCUUACCUGUCUAUGUGUCUCUGUAGUGUGUCUGGUCUCUUCUUACCUGUCUAUGUGUCUCUGUAGUGUGUCUGGUCUCUUCUUACCUGUCUAUGUGUCUCUGUAGUGUGUCAGGUGUGUCUGGUCUCUUCUUACCUGUCUCUGUGUCUCUGUAGUGUGUCAGGUGUGUCUGGUCUCUUCUUACCUGUCUAUGUGUCUCUGUAGUGUGUCUGGUCUCUUCUUACCUGUCUAUGUGUCUCUGUAGUGUGUCAGGUGUGUCUGGUCUCUUCUUACCUGUCUCUGUGUCUCUGUAGUGUGUCAGGUGUGUCUGGUCUCUUCUUACCUGUCUAUGUGUCUCUGUAGUGUGUCUGGUCUCUUCUUACCUGUCUAUGUGUCUCUGUAGUGUGUCAGGUGUGUCUGGUCUCUUCUUACCUGUCUAUGUGUCUCUGUAGUGUGUCAGGUGUGUCUGGUCUCUUCUUACCUGUCUAUGUGUCUCUGUAGUGUGUCAGGUGUGUCUGGUCUCUUCUUACCUGUCUAUGUGUCUCUGUAGUGUGUCUGGUCUCUUCGUACCUGUCUAUGUGUCUCUGUAGUGUGUCAGGUGUGUCUGGUCUCUUCUUACCUGUCUAUGUGUCUCUGUAGUGUGUCUGGUCUCUUCUUACCUGUCUAUGUGUCUCUGUAGUGUGUCUGAUCUCUUCUUACCUGUCUAUGUGUCUCUGUAGUGUGUCUGGUCUCUUCUUACCUAUCUAUGUGUCUCUGUAGUGUGUCUGGUCUCUUCUUACCUGUCUAUGUGUCUCUGUAGUGUGUCUGGUCUCUUCUUACCUGUCUAUGUGUCUCUGUAGUGUGUCUGGUCUCUUCUUACCUGUCUAUGUGUCUCUGUAGUGUGUCAGGUGUGUCUGGUCUCUUCUUACCUGUCUAUGUGUCUCUGUAGUGUGUCUGGUCUCUUCUUACCUGUCUAUGUGUCUCUGUAGUGUGUCAGGUGUGUCUGGUCUCUUCUUACCUGUCUCUGUGUCUCUGUAGUGUGUCAGGUGUGUCUGGUCUCUUCUUACCUGUCUAUGUGUCUCUGUAGUGUGUCUGGUCUCUUCUUACCUGUCUAUGUGUCUCUGUAGUGUGUCAGGUGUGUCUGGUCUCUUCUUACCUGUCUAUGUGUCUCUGUAGUGUGUCAGGUGUGUCUGGUCUCUUCUUACCUGUCUAUGUGUCUCUGUAGUGUGUCUGGUCUCUUCGUACCUGUCUAUGUGUCUCUGUAGUGUGUCAGGUGUGUCUGGUCUCUUCUUACCUGUCUAUGUGUCUCUGUAGUGUGUCUGGUCUCUUCUUACCUGUCUAUGUGUCUCUGUAGUGUGUCUGGUCUCUUCUUACCUGUCUAUGUGUCUCUGUAGUGUGUCUGGUCUCUUCUUACCUGUCUAUGUGUCUCUGUAGUGUGUCUGGUCUCUUCUUACCUGUCUAUGUGUCUCUGUAGUGUGUCAGGUGUGUCUGGUCUCUUCUUACCUGUCUAUGUGUCUCUGUAGUGUGUCAGGUGUGUCUGGUCUCUUCUUACCUGUCUAUGUGUCUCUGUAGUGUGUCUGGUCUCUUCUUACCUGUCU